rnacentral:rRNA from 1 species
GAUGAACGCUGGCGGCGUGCCUAAUACAUGCAAGUCGAGCGAACAGAUGAGAAGCUUGCUUCUCUGAUGUUAGCGGCGGACGGGUGAGUAACACGUGGGUAACCUACCUAUAAGACUGGGACAACUCCGGGAAGCCGGGGCUAAUACCGGAUAAUAUUUUGAACCGCAUGGUUCAAUAGUGAAAGACGGUUUCGGCUGUCACUUAUAGAUGGACCCGCGCAGUAUUAGCUAGUUGGUAAGGUAACGGCUUACCAAGGCGACGAUACGUAGCCGACCUGAGAGGGUGAUCGGACACACUUGAACUGAGACACGGUCCAGACUCCUGCGAGAGGCAGCAGUAGGGAAUCUUCCGCAAUGGGCGAAAGCCUGACGGAGCAACGCCUCGUGAGUGAUGAAGGUCUUCGGAUCGUAAAUCUCUGUUGUUAGGGAAGAACAAAUUUGUUAGUAACUGAACAAGUCUUGACGGUACCUAACCAGAAAGCCACGGCUAACUACGUGCCAGCCGCCGCCGUAA